rnacentral:rRNA from 1 species
GACGAACGCUGGCGGCGUGCUUAACACAUGCAAGUCGAACGAUGAAGAAAAGAAUUGAAGCUUCGGCAGAAAUUCAUUUCGGAUUAGUGGCAGACGGGUGAGUAACGCGUGAGCAACCUACCUCUUACAAAGGGAUAGCCUCGGGAAACCGGCAUUAAUACCAUAUAACAUUGCGACGAAGCAUUUCGAUGCAAUCAAAGCUACGGCGGUAAGAGAUGGGCUCGCGUCCCAUUAACCAGAUGGUGAGGUAACGGCUCACCAUAGUAACGAUGGGUAACCGGCCUGAGAGGGUGAACGGUCACACUGGAACUGAGACACGGUCCAGACUCCUACGGGAGGCAGCAGUGGGGAAUAUUGCACAAUGGAGGGAACUCUGAUGCAGCGACGCCGCGUGAGUGAUGAAGGAAUUCGUUUCGUAAAACUCUGUUCUAUGGGAAGAAAAGGACUGUACCAUAGGAGAAAGCUCCGGCUAAAUACGUG